CCAUCCAAUAAGGCCAAGUAGCCAGCUGAAUUGUACAGGUUUGACACUCUCAUCUCGCCGGUUACCAUGGAAACCCAAUCAAAGAGCCAGUUGCUGUUUAUUACGUCAAUUGUCAAAUUUGCCUGAUUUUUAGUUCAAGGCCUCCUAGAUUGCGUUACGGAACCACUUCCGAAUGUUCUGUCAAUGAUUUUAAAACCAGCCAACCAAUACAAGUGUAUAGCCACAGUCCAAAUAAAUGUCAUUUUACUUUUUGGCUCCAUAAGGUUUGCUGGUAGCAGGCGUGCGAUGUACCACAAAGUGGAACCAUAAAUCAAGUGGCAGUGGUAACUCUGUCUUACUCUGGGGUAUAGCUAAAAUAUAUUUAUUAAUAAUAUGAAA